UUAAAGGCUCUUUUCAGAGCCACCCCAAACCUCAGGAAAGAGCUGU
rfam:Ailuropoda melanoleuca scaffold2498_15, whole genome shotgun sequence.